CCCUCUCCAAUUCUUUUUUCUUUUCAAAGUAUCAAGAAUGCCCCUGCUCUCUUUAAAACUCCCAUAUGAUUAAUUACGUUCUUUGAGCUCCUUUAAAUCCGGCCAAUUUAUCUCCUCUUCACCUUACUCUUAAAUUUUGAAUCCGUUUUUAAUUCUUCUCUCCUUGUUUUCCAUACGAAACCCUAGCUCCAAAGAUCAUCAAUCUCCUCCUACAUCAAAAAGCAAGAAGUGAUAGCUUACAAAUAGGAAAAAACACAGCUUUUGCUUCGAACAGGCACCACCGACACGAUUUAGCCUAUUGCCAUGAUGACUUUCCUCUCUGUAAUCUGCCAUCGUCCCACCGUUUUGAGGUGGAGGCAAAGAAGCAUUAGGAAGAAGCAAGAUACAUAACACAAAUUAUCCACCCAUAAAAAUAAAACUUACUCAAACAUUUUUGUACCUAACAUCAAUUUCGUUUUUUUUGAUAUCUACAUUUACGGUAUCAGAUAACAAUAUAUUGUAUGUUGGGAAUGUAUUUGUUUUUAACUGAAUGAGAAAAUUAAUCACGUUUUUGUUA